rnacentral:lncRNA from 1 species
CCGCCCCGCCCGGCCGCCCCGCCCCGCGCCACCGCCCCCUACCCCCAGGCCGAGCCCCAGGGAGGGACCGCAAAGGGAGGGAGGUGGGAGGGAGGGGGCCGCGAGAGGGGCCGGCCGACCCAGACCGAGGGAGACCCAGCGGAGCGCACGCCCAGGAAGGAGAGAGCCGGAGAGCUCGGGAGACGAGACCCCCAGAGAUGGGAGCGGAGGGAUCCAGAGAAAGGAGAUGCUGGCACUUGGCUCCCGGGAAACUGUGAGGACUGAGUGGGGGGUCUUGCCCCCCCAAGCACCACAGAGUCUGUUGGGGAGAAGCCCACAGUUCAUCCAGGGACGAAGAGAAUGUCUUACCAGAGGCUCCGGCAGGACCCAGGCCCUAAGAGUGACUUUGGUGGGCUCCCCUCUAAACCUCCCAGCAGUCAUCAGACCUGAAAGGUGGCCGCCAGGCGAAAAAACUGCACACAGACAGCGGCGGGGCUUCCUCUGCCCGGGGAAUGCGGUGUCCUUGGCCGGCAGAGAGUCCCCAGAGAGCGGGUCCCACCUCCCCGCCGGGAACGGAGGCCUAGAGAGGAG